GUAGUACCGAAUAUUAGUAACAAAUUUGUGAUAUACAGCUAAUUAGUCUCGUGAUCAUCGUUCUAUUUUUAGGUCUUGAAAUCAGUAUUGAAAUAUUAAGUGGAUAAUCGCAAUACUGAAUUUUAGUACCAAAAUUAGUGAUAUACAACUGAGUCGGGUCAUCCUGCUACUGUUUUUAGUACUGAAACCAGUAUUGAAAUAUUAACGUGAGUAAUCGCAAUACUGAUUUUUAUACCAAAAUUAGUGACAUAGAACUGAGUCGGGUGAUCGUCAUUUUAUUUUUCAGUACUAAAAUCAGUAUUGAAAUAUUAAGGUGGAUAAUCGCUAUACUGAGGUUUAGUAUCGAAAAUAGUGAUAUGGAACUUAGUCAGGUGUUAGUCGUGUUAUAUUAGAGUACUCAAAUUAAUACUGAAAUACUAACACGUAUAAUCGCAAUACUAAAUUUUAUACCGAUAAUAGUGAUAUAGAAGUGAGUCGGGUAAUUGUCGUUUUAUUUUUCUAUACUACAAUCAGUAUUGAAA